rnacentral:lncRNA from 1 species
UGUAUUAAAAAUGCAAAUGUAAAAUGUGGAUUUUUGCAGUGUCUAAAUAUACAUCAAUAAAAUUCUUCAAAGGAAAGAGCCAGGGAUUGGACAGCCUGAGCCUUCCCAGUGCCAGAGUACGUGUAUCAGCCAUUUCUGGUUGGUCAGGACCCCCAGUGGGACUGGGAGAAGCCUGAAGAGUUGUUGAGGAACUGAAGCCCACUUUGAGUAAAUACUCCAGGAGACAAGUGCGUCCCCCAAGCUGAAUUCUUCCAAGCUGGGGAAUUUAGUUAACUUCCAACAACAAGCUCUGCCUCCUGGGAGCUUGGCCCAGCUGCACAGGGCCUGGAGAGAUGGCUCAGUGCUUAAGAGCACUGGCUGCUCUCCCAGAGGUCCUGGGUACAAUUCCCAGCACCCACAUGGACAGCUCACAACUGU